GCAAGAGGCAAAUUGCCAGUGUUCCCAAACGCAGUUGCGAUGAUAGUGAACCUAAAGUACUCUGGAGGUGGCCUGCAAAUUUUCGCCACCAAGUAUCCCAAUAGACAACCGAUUGCAGUACUUAAAAGUACAUUAACUGGUAUAAACCACCAGCGCGCAAAAUUCUGGACAGUACGCCACCAAGUACCCCAAUAGACAACCGAUUGCAGUACUUAAAAGUACAUUAACUGGCAUAAACCACCAGCGCGCAAAAUUCUUGACAGUAAUAGUCUCACCAAGGUGAAUAAAGAUAGUGCAAGGCAAGAAGAGAGCAAAGACAA
rnacentral:lncRNA from 1 species